AUACGGAGGGUGCGGGCGUUAUCCGGACUUAUUAGGUUUAAAGGGUGUGUAGGCGGGAGCCUAAGUCAGUGGUGAAAUCUCACAGCUUAACUGUGAAACUGCCAUUGAAACUGGGUUUCUCGAGUAUAGUUGAGGUAGGCGGAAUGUGUAAUGUAGCGGUGAAAUGCAUAGAUAUUACACAGAACACCGAUUGCGAAGGCAGCUUACUAAGCUAUUACUGACGCUGAUGCACGAAAGCGUGGGUAGCGAACAGGAUUAGAAACCCUAGUAGUCC
rnacentral:rRNA from 1 species